GAAGAAUUUUGUGAGGCAACCUUAUCUGCGGUUGAUCGUCAGAAGGUUGCUUUUUUCGGUGUUUAUGAUGGUCAUGGAGGCUCCAGAACUUCAGAGUAUCUAAGAAACCAUCUCUUUAAAAAUUUAAGCAGCCAUCCAGAUUUUAUAGAAGACACAAAGACAGCUAUUGUUGAAGUUUUUACAAACACUGAUGAGAAUUACCUUAGUGAAGAGAAAGGCCAGCAAAAAGAUACUGGGUCAACUGCUUCGACUGCUGUGCUGUUAGGGGAUCGGCUGGUUGUUGCAAAUGUUGGUGAUUCCAGAGUGGUGGCCUCCAGAG
rnacentral:lncRNA from 1 species